CAGUCGCCGCGGGAAUACGUAGGGUGCGAGCGUUAAUCGGAAUUACUGGGCGUAAGCGUGCGCAGGCGGUUCGUUAAGACAGAUGUGAAAUCCCCGGGCUUAACCUGGGAACUGCAUUUGUGACUGGCGAGCUAGAGUAUGGCAGAGGGGGGUAGAAUUCCACGUGUAGCAGUGAAAUGCGUAGAGAUGUGGAGGAAUACCGAUGGCGAAGGCAGCCCCCUGGGCCAAUACUGACGCUCAUGCACGAAAGCGUGGGGAGCAAACAGGAUUAGAGACCCCUGUAGCCCUGUCUCUUAUACAC
rnacentral:rRNA from 1 species